CAAACAUGGUGGAGUUUCCUGGAAGAGAAGAAACAAAGCACUUCAUCCUCCAAAAACUGUUCACAGCCUGUCAGCCUCAAGCCACUGUGGAGAAGGACUUAUUUUCCCCAAGAACAAGUAUUUGCCAAGAACCCAACCCCUAGAGAUCCUGCGUUUGUCCACCAGCUUGGGUUCCAGUCCAACCUUUGUCCUCUUGUUUGUGUAUCUCACAGUCUAAGAAAAACCCUAUUAUGACAGUGGGCCAAUCAGAAUGCUGCUUCUUGGCUCCUGAUGGUCUCACCUGUUGGAGUAUUUGAUAGUUUCUUAAAGGAGGAGUUGAGGUUUCUUUUUUUUUUUUUUUGUGGAAACAUUACUGAGAUUAACCUUGAUAAUCUGUCAAAUCUUUGGUAGCUAUAAAACAUGUCUGUAGGUUAUUAAAACAGGUUAAUCCACAAGAAAUCACUCUAACAUUCAGAAGACCAGAAAUUGAGAAAUCUUUAAAAGAACAUAUCUUUGAUUUUGUUCCCUUUAACAUCUUUAAUUAGAUGUUAAACCCUGGUUGUUAGGCCCCUGGAUGUAAUGUGUUUGCGGGUUUUUUUUCUCCCUUUCAGGUCAGAGUGUGACGUCUUUCCAAUAGAGAAUCUUUGAGUAUGCAUCUUCUACCCAAAAAUGCUGGUUCCUGGUUGGUUCCUGAACCUAUUAUUGCAAACCGGCAGCUGGACACUACGAAUCCAGAUCCAUCCAUCAGAUACAAUGUCCAGCUCCUUCUGAGUAAUCAAAAGAAGUUAAGGGACCAGAAAGCAUCAAGGGAUGUGUAGUCCCUCCAGCAGGUUCUGAGUCUACUCUGAGGUUUCAUGUCAGUGGGAGGUUCCAGUAAAAAGCCACCGUAAGCCACCAUAGCAGAGGAGUUUGAGCUCCCUGUGAUCCCAGAGGUGGUGUUCCUCAGGGUGUUUCUGCCAAUCCCAGAAUCUGCCGAUUGCCAUUUUUAGAGUAAAUUACAUUCCAGAAUUUUAGAUACAAAACCAAUUAUAGCACACAUUAAAAAAAUGGUCAAAUCAGCCCCUAAGUGUGACACAAACAGAACAUAAGAACAUUGGUUCUGGUAACAACUGGAUGAACCCUUUUCAUGAUUUUGAUUAAAGAA